UACGUAGGGUGCAAGCGAUAAUCGGAAUUACUGGGCGUAAAGCGUGCGCAGGCGGUUUUGUAAGUCUGUCGUGAAAUCCCCGGGCUCAACCUGGGAAUUGCGAUGGAGACUGCAAGGCUAGAAUCUGGCAGAGGGGGGUAGAAUUCCACGUGUAGCAGUGAAAUGCGUAGAGAUGUGGAGGAACACCGAUGGCGAAGGCAGCCCCCUGGGUCAAGAUUGACGCUCAUGCACGAAAGCGUGGGGAGCAAACAGG
rnacentral:rRNA from 1 species